AUUGAACGCUGGCGGCAUGCCUUACACAUGCAAGUCGAACGGUUUUUAGUGAAGGGCAACCGGAUCUAAAAGCAGUGGCGAACGGGUGCGUAACACGUGAACAAUCUACCUCCGAGUGGGGAAUAGCUCGGCGAAAGCCGAAUUAAUACCGCAUGUGGUGCUCUCUCGCAUGAGAGGGUUACUAAAAACAGGGACCGCCAGGCCUGGUGCUAGGAGAGGAGUUCGCGGCCUAUCAGCUAGUUGGCGAGGUAACGGCUCACCAAGGCUAAGACGGGUAGCUGGUCUGAGAGGAUGAUCAGCCACACUGGAACUGAGACACGGUCCAGACACCUACGGGUGGCGGCAGUUUCGAAUCAUUCACAAUGGGCGAGAGCCUGAUGGUGCGACGCCGCGUGAGGGAUGAAGGUCUUCGGAUUGUAAACCUCUGUCACCGGGGAAGAAACGCUUUGAGUUAAUAGUUCAAAGCCUGACUUAACCCGGAGAGGAAGCAGUGGCUAACUCUGUGCCAGCCGCCGCCGUAA
rnacentral:rRNA from 1 species